GAAUUUCCUCAGAGUAUGUGGUUAUAAAUUGUGGAGUGAUAAUUGUGUUGGAAUUAGAGUAUAAUGGGGAACUGUUGUAACAGUCGAGUUGUUCCUAUAGAACAUGCAAUUAUCCCAUAUUACUCAACUGGUGAACAAACGUGUCCAGAGACCUUCUUGGAGGUGGAGCCUACAAAACCCCAAUGUGCAUCUUCUAAAACUGCUAACAGUGCAACUUCACCAAGGGACCAGCGAGAUCCACCAGUGAGGAAGGUGAAGGU